GACGAACGCUGGCGGCGUGCUUAACACAUGCAAGUCGAACGGAAAGGCCCUGCUUUUGUGGGGUGCUCGAGUGGCGAACGGGUGAGUAACACGUGAGUAACCUGCCCUUGACUUUGGGAUAACUUCAGUAAACUGGGGCUAAUACCGGAUAGGAGCGCCUGCUGCAUGGGGGGGGUUGGAAAGUUUCGGCGGUUGGGGAUGGACUCGCGGCUUAUCAGCUGGUGGGUGGUGUAGUGGCUUACCAAGGCUUUGACGGGUAGCCGGCCUUGGAGGGUGACCGGCCACAUUGGGACUGAGGUACGGCCCAGAAUACUACGGGAGGCAGCAGUGGGGAAUAUUGCACAAUGGGCGGAAGCCUGAUGCAGCAACGCCGCGUGCGGGAUGAAGGACUUCGGGGUGUCAACAGCUUUCGCUUGUGACGAAGAGUGAGUGACGGUAAUGGGUAAAGAAGCACCGGCUAACUACGUG
rnacentral:rRNA from 1 species